CAGCUGCUUUGUGCUCUAACUCCACUCCAGUGUCCUAGAUAUUUUGUUCUACCCUUCAAAGAUUUUUUGGACUGAAAAACUACUUUAUCCUUUCUUUUCGUGGAUUAUGAUGCUGCAAAAUGUGUUUUGAGAAUGGACUUCAUGGUUAAUAUAACUAGCUAUUCAGAGAGAGGACACCAAGAAAAUGGAUAACUGUGGAUUCUGCUUGGAAGUAUGGAUGAAUGAAGCACCAAAAUCUGAGAAGAGAGAGAAGAAAUGGAUGCUUGAACAGUGGGAUUCAAUGGUCUUGAGAGUUGAAGAAGUGUACUUAAAACAAUAAGUACUUUUAAAAAAAGUAUUUAUUCAUUAACAAUUACAUUUUAUAACACAUAUCCAUGCAAGUUUUCCUAAAAUAUAUCAUCAAACUUAUCUCCCUUCCUCCCUUUUCCUUUCCCCUCCUGUUAUUGGCAGGCAAUGCAAUCUAUAUCUAAAACACAUAUAUUAUCAUGCAUAUCAUUUUCAUAUUGUUCAGUUUUAUGAUUAAUCUUAUAAAACCAAAACCCCAUAACAUAAACCCAAAUAAACAAUUUAAAAAUUACA
rnacentral:lncRNA from 1 species